GAAGCCAUAGCUGAUCAACUCCUACAUUUGUCCCACUGGUGCUGGCCUGCUGCUGACAGUGUGGAUCAAGGCAUCCUUGCCCUGGCAAGAGGACAUUUCCCUGUAAUUCUGGUUUCCUCCAGCAGUGCAUUCCUACAAAUAACAUGGGCACUUUCCUGGGAUGCAGACCUCUCAAAGAAAAAGAAAACCUGAGGAAAAAAGAAGCUUUACAAAAAUUUAGAAGAAAGAAAAUCAUCAAUGACCUCCACUGGACACAGACACAGGUUACAGCAAGGUCAGGACUGAGCACUGUACAUCCUUUUGCUUCCUAAAUAUCGGACACUUAAUUCCAAAGGCUCUGUCACAGAGGUGGAAAUGCACCUACAAGGACACCUUCUCUCCAUUCUGCCCAUACAGUUACUCCUGCAUACAAAACCCGCUCUUCCUGGAGCAAGGCUACUCAGCUCUAGCUUCAAAGCCAAGGGAAGACCAGAUUACUUUGCCUUACUGAAACUCUGAUACAAUGAGAAGAGCUCAGUUUAACCAGACCUUUCAUGACUCUCUGAACUAAAAGGAGGCUGGAAUGAGAGCUUCACAUUCAGAUGUGAACAAAAGUGAGAUUGCUUCAGUGUGAGAAGAAAAAAAAGCCAAUAAAA